rnacentral:rRNA from 1 species
GGACCUUCGGGCCUCUUGCCAUCGGAUGUGCCCAGAUGGGAUUAGCUUGUUGGUGGGGUAACGGCUCACCAAGGCGACGAUCCCUAGCUGGUCUGAGAGGAUGACCAGCCACACUGGAACUGAGACACGGUCCAGACUCCUACGGGAGGCAGCAGUGGGGAAUAUUGCACAAUGGGCGCAAGCCUGAUGCAGCCAUGCCGCGUGUAUGAAGAAGGCCUUCGGGUUGUAAAGUACUUUCAGCGGGGAGGAAGGGAGUAAAGUUAAUACCUUUGCUCAUUGACGUUACCCGCAGAAGAAGCACCGGCUAACUCCGUGCCAGCAGCCGCGGUAAUACGGAGGGUGCAAGCGUUAAUCGGAAUUACUGGGCGUAAAGCGCACGCAGGCGGUUUGUUAAGUCAGAUGUGAAAUCCCCGGGCUCAACCUGGGAACUGCAUCUGAUACUGGCAAGCUUGAGUCUCGUAGAGGGGGGUAGAAUUCCAGGUGUAGCGGUGAAAUGCGUAGAGAUCUGNGAGGAAUACCGGUGGCGAAGGCGGCCCCCUGGACGAAGACUGACGCUCAGGUGCGAAAGCGUGGGGAGCAAACAGGGUUAGAUACCCUGGUAGUCCACGCCGUAAACGAUGUCGACUUGGAGGUUGUGCCCUUGAGGCGUGGCUUCCGGAGCUAACGCGUUAAGUCGACCGCCUNGNGNNGNGANGUNACNGGCCGCAAGGUNUNAAAACUCAAAUGAAUUGACGGGGGCCCGCACAAGCGGUGGAGCAUGUGGUUUAAUUCGAUGCAACGCGAAGAACCUUACCUGGUCUUGACAUCCACGGAAGUUUUCAGAGAUGAGAAUGUGCCUUCGGGAACCGUGAGACAGGUGCUGCAUGGCUGUCGUCAGCUCGUGUUGUGAAAUGUUGGGUUAAGUCCCGCAACGAGCGCAACCCUUAUCCUUUGUUGCCAGCGGUCCGGCCGGGAACUCAAAGGAGACUGCCAGUGAUAAACUGGAGGAAGGUGGGGAUGACGUCAAGUCAUCAUGGCCCUUACGACCAGGGCUACACACGUGCUACAAUGGCGCAUACAAAGAGAAGCGACCUCGCGAGAGCAAGCGGACCUCAUAAAGUGCGUCGUAGUCCGGAUUGGAGUCUGCAACUCGACUCCAUGAAGUCGGAAUCGCUAGUAAUCGUGGAUCAGAAUGCCACGGUGAAUACGUUCCCGGGCCUUGUACACACCGCCCGUCACACCAUGGGAGUGGGUUGCAAAAG